UAGACCAAAUAGGAAGUGGACUUUCCUGACCAGCCUGGGAAAAGUCUGAGCAAAGUCUUCAGGGGCAAAUACAGCUUACUCAGACAAAAAAGGCAGUCAGUGGCAAGUCUAGGCAGACGCCAGGAGGUGUUAGGAACAGACUAGAAGAUAUGGUUGUUCUGGAGGAAAAAGUGUAUAACUUAAGAGAACUGUAAAAAUUAACGGACUGCUACGACGUGCUGUUAAGGAAAUAACAGGCACCUGGGAAAACCCACGAAGGAAGGUUUUGUAAGAAGUUGCUCUGCUCCCCACGAGAAAAUGCCGAGCUCAACACGGCCAAGAGGAACAAGUCUGGGAAAUUACGACAUGAGAUGUGACCAGAUGUUGAUGACCUCACGUAAGCUGUGGAAGAAUUCCGUUGUAGCUGGGGAGACAAUAAAGAUGGAGUUUCAUUCUUUUGCCCAGGCUGGAGUGCAGUGGUGUGAUCUCGGCUCACGGCAACCUCCACCUCCCAGCGAUUCUCCUGCUUCCGCCUUCCGAGUAGCUACAGAUUGCAGCGAUGGGGUCUUGCUGUGUUGCCCAGGCUGGCCUCAAACUCCUGACUUCAAGAGAUUCUCCCUGUCCUGGCCUCCCAAAGCGCUAGGAUUACAGAUGGGUCUUUAAUUUUGAAAUGCACAGUUUAAGGAGAUUACUAACCACUGAAUAGACCACUUUUUUCUUACCUUAUUGAGCAUCUACUUGGAGAGAGUCAAACCCAGAAUCCCUUUGAAUUUAAUGGUCAUUCCUUGUGAUCUGAACAGCCAAAUAAGAAACAGGUUCUCUUCGGUGUAAAAUCUGCCAAGUAUAAGGUCUGAAUGACCAUCAUUAUUAUGUGUUUAAUGUGCAUAGAAAAGUUAACUGCAACCUUCCAGAGUGUGCCAGAAGUUUGGAAUGUACAUUAUCAUUGGCUCCAUCUGAAACCAGUCAUAAAUCAAAGAAAAUAGCAGUUCCAGGGGAAUCAUAGAGGCUUCCAGGCCCCUGCUCUUUGUGAACCUGGCGAGAAAGGGAAGUCUGCUCUCACUGGACACUGGAACUGUUUGUCUCUGUCUCUGCUGUACUGUUCCUACCUCUGCCUCACUUAAUGGUGAAAUCAUCUUUGCUUGAUGACUAAAACAACCAAUAAGGUUGAGAAAGGGGAAAACCCACUUCUGCAUUCAAAUACAAGAGGCUCUCUCUAUUGCCCAGGCUGGAAUGCAGUGGUGUGAUCUCAGCUCUCUGUAACCUCCGCCUUCUGGGUUCAAGCAAUUCUCCUGCUUCAGCCUCCCAAACAGAUGGGAUCAUAGGUGUGUAUCACCAUGCCAGGCUAAUGUUUUAUAAUUUUAGUAGAGACAGGGUUUUGCCAUGUUGGCCAGGCUGGUCUCGAACUUCUGACCUCAGGUGAUCCAUCCACCUUGGCCUCCCAAAGUACUGGGAUUUAAGGCAUGAGCCACUGGGCCUGGCCUCAAAUAUUUUACUAUAACAAAUCAGUAUAGGCCAAAAGAAGUUAGAAAUUGAAGCUAAUGGAAAUAAAGAAGAGGCUUUCCUUUUAGUAUCUAUGGGGGUGUGUGUGUUUGUUAUUUAGGGAAGGUAACAGGGAACUUGGAGCAUAUUUAUUUAUGUUUUCUUAGCUUAGGCAUAUAUGGUAUAUUUAGUCACGUAGUAAGUUUUUUAUUUAGAAGUUAUGUAUAGAGCAUUUUUUCUAGGCCAGUGGGGAAUAAACAAGAAAUAUAAGAAGUAUCUGCCCUCUGGAAGCUUGUAAUCUAGUUAGGGGUAUCACAAGUGUUCACUAGUAGCAGAGAAGCAUGUGAUGAGUAGACAGAGCUUAUAUUGAGAAAAGGUAUAUAAGAGUUCAGAGGAGGCCAUCAUUGAUUUUCAUCAAGAGUAUAGGACAGAAGGACAAGACAUAGGGUUGGGCAUCUAGUUUUGUGCACUGACAAGAAUUUUGCAGGGUUAGGCGUGUUUGAAAACUACAAGGAAGACAGAAUCUUGGUCUUGUUUUCCAACAUGCCCUUUCUUGAACUCACCAGGGUAAUGCUGCAUCUUCUCAGAAAUGCCUCUGGCUUCUCAAAGCAACAUUCAUCUUGGGGAGGAACAAUUAAUCUUUGUCUUUCAUUAGUAAAAGAUUUAAUGGCUCAGAAGGAAAAGCUAGUGGUGACUUUUCAAUCACCCCUUCUACCUCCCAGGUUUUUCUGAGAAGUCUCCAAGUUUCCUGUGGGAGAACAUGCAAUAUAUUUAGCAACAAGUUCCUCCUUGCCCUGAAGUAUGCCAGAAACAAACUUUGAAAGCUCAUGGAAGAUACAGAGAACUUGUGGGUUUUGUUACUUGGCAACUGAGAUCUGAGCUGUUAAAAUAAGACAUUUGCAUUAUUUUAUAAUUCUAAAAAUGCAAUUCAUGUUAUUUUCUUUUCUAGAGGGGUAACAUAAAAUUAUUUUAGCUUCAUUGUUUCAAAAUCUCAGACUUAUUAGGCUGGCUUUCCUGUGCUGUGCUGUUGUGAUUACACUGAGUGGAUACCUCCUGGACUGCAGGUAAAGCAAUAAGUCUAGCUAGAGUUCCUAGAAACAUCACAAGAGAGCCAAGUAAAUAUCCAGAGAAUCGGAAUAGUUUUUAUCAGGGAAUUAGGAAAACUCCCUUGCAUAUAGUGGAGGUGGAAGAGAACCCUGAUGAGACAGACAUCAGACUGCGAUAAUAGGAGACACUCUUGCACCUGCUCCACUCCUGCUCCAAUUCUGCCUUCUCUCUCAUUGCUUGUCCCCACCUCCUUGGCUGCUGCCCCUUUGCUUCUGAGGUUGCCUCUGAUUCUAUGUCCAAUGUAGAAGAAAGUAUCAGGAAAGAAGAAAGUAUCAAGUACCAUAUUUCCCAAAUUGUAUGGACACCCAUAUUUCCCCAAUUACACCUUGGGGAUGGUGCUCUAACAGGAGUGAAUUAAUUGUGAGGAAAGUGGAUAGAAUAGUUUACAUAAGUGUUUGGAGAAAAUAGGAUGGAGGCUCGCUUUCUUUAUGAAUCAUAUUUGGCAGGGCCAGGUGCAGUGGCUCAUGCCUGUAACCCCAGCACUUUGGGAGGCCAAGGCGGGUGAUCACCUGAGGUCAGGAGAUUGAGGUCAGCCUGGCCAACAUGGUGAAACCCCAUCUCUACUAAAAAUACAAAAAAUUAACUGGUUAUGGUGGUGGCACCUGUAGUCCCAGCCACUCUGGAGGCUGAGGCAGAAUUGCUUGAACUUGGGAGGCAGAGAUUACAGGGAGCUGAGACCACGCCACUGCCUUUCAGCCUCAGCAACAAAGCACAUCUUGAUCCAAAAAAAAAAAAAAAAAAGGGAAGAAGGAGGAAGAAGAAAAUGAAUCAGACUUGGCAGAAUGAUUAAUUUUGGGUCACUUGCAACUCAAACGUGUAUAUGUUAGAUGUUUGGAGCACUUCUGGACCCAAAGGUGCAUCUUAUUCCAUCCCAGGGUUGUUAUACAAGGUUUGGACUCCUGCAGUCACUUUGCACAUCAGUGAGUCCACAGGAGGGAAGCUCCUGGGGUAAAAUGUUCUCACCAAUCCCAGCCACCAGCUUACUGCAACUUUAUGGUAUGGUGCGGGCUCAUUCAUUAGAGUUUAGUAAACGGAGAAGCUAAAUAAUGAUAUUGGGAUUUUGGCAUUAUAUGCUUGACAAGGAAAUGUUGUAUUCUGCCUUUAUUGAGUGCAUAAUAAAAAGUGUUCUCUUCCAAAUUACCUUACAAUGAUUGUAUAGCAAAUUCAAGAGGAUGUACUUUUACAAUAUUGACACAUGGGCUAGAAUGUAAACUUUAUUGUUAUGUUCACUGAUAUAGCUGCAAGAAUGGUUUUGGAACAUAAUGGGUGGGAAAUAAAUAUUUGUCAAAUAAAUGGCUUAACUGAGCAUACUGUGUAUAUAGAUAGCAUAAAAUUGAGUCAUUUUUCUGAUAUUUUAUGAGGUUCAAUUCUCACUCAAGUAAGUAUACUAUUUUUCUAAAUGAAGGGUUCAGAUUAUGGCUAUUUGUAAAUCACAAAUUCUGCAACAUUAGAUAUGGGUUAUAAAGUUUUCUUAUCUGUGAUCUGUUUAACAAAAUGUUUUCUAAGGAUUCUUUUCAUUUUAAAAGCCAACAGAUCUAUGAAUGUAGGUCAUUUCUCAAGCCUCUUUCACUUAUAACAUUCCAUAAUUAUUACAAAAGCAUACAAAAGAAGAAACACUCCUAUUGGCUACUUGAUACCUUACGAUAAGGCUUUAAAAAAUUCUUGAAAAGCAAUACCAACUCAUCUUUGGUGGUUAUUCAGACCAUCACCACAUACAAGAGAAAGGUUCAUUGUUGACCUCCGAAAAGCUGAUUUUUCAGAUGAUUCAUUAAUGAGAAGCAGUGAUAAUACUUUGCCAGUGGCACUUAGAGUGUAGUUGAGAAGACACACAAAAGCCAGUAACUAAUAAUUGCGAAUUGUGGAAAAUAAUAUGAAAGCCCAGCGUCCAGACUACCAGGACAAGAAGAAGCUGGGUUCAGGCAGAAGGUGAGCUAUUUUAGAUAGGGAGGCCAGGGAAGAUCUUUCUGAAAAAGUCUUACCUGAAAGAUGAGAAGGAACCAGUCACAUAAAGAAUAAGGGAUAAACAUUUCAGGCAGAGGACACAGUAUGAGCAAAUGAAUCCAAUUUCAAAGCUUCUUGCAUUUACAGAUGAAAUAAUAUGACCCCCAGGAUUUGCUUUAAAAAAAUUCAAUGGGAGGCAGGGAGGGAGAGGGGCAUCUGGUGGUAUAGAUAAACAAGAUAGGCCAUACAGUGGUGACUAUUGAAGCCGCAUGAUGGGUACAUAAAAAUUUAUUAUGCUCUUCUUGAAUAUGUUUGUAAUUUUCCCUAAAAUAAAAUCUUUUUUAAAAAGCC